UAACAGUAUGAAUUUGAUACUUUAUAUGCGAAAGUGAAAUAUAUAUUGAAGGGUAAUUCUACCCCAGGAAAUAACAAGGACAAGGACAAGGAGCGGGAAUAAAGGGAUUCGCGUGUCAAGGGCAUUUUGGAUUUCGAGAUUAGAGGAUCAGACCUAGCUCUUUUAUUGUUCAGCUGCAGCCAGGUCACUAGCUAGUCUUUUGAGUUCGAGUAAUUAUUGGAUAUGUUAGUUGUGGCAUGUAUAGAAAGUGUAAUGUUGUUUGGACGUUCAUUUACUUCGUUAUCCAGGUCGUAUAAAUAUAUAUAGACUUUUGUGAAAUAGGUUUACGGUCCAAUUUCAGACGUUA